rnacentral:rRNA from 1 species
CGAACGACUCCCGGCAACGGAUAUCUCGGCUCUCGCAUCGAUGAAGAACGUAGCGAAAUGCGAUACUUGGUGUGAAUUGCAGAAUCCCGUGAACCAUCGAGUCUUUGAACGCAAGUUGCGCCCGAAGCCAUCCGGCCGAGGGCACGUCUGCCUGGGUGUCACGC